AACGAACGCUGGCGGCAUGCCUAACACAUGCAAGUCGAACGCUCGUCUUCGGACGGGAGUGGCGCACGGGUGAGUAACGCGUGGGAACCUGCCCCGAGGUGGGGGAUAACCCGGCGAAAGCCGGGCUAAUACCGCAUACGUCCUGAGGGAGAAAGAUUGAUCGCCUUGGGAGGGGCCCGCGUCGGAUUAGGUAGUUGGUGGGGUAACGGCCUACCAAGCCGGUGAUCCGUAGCUGGUCUGAGAGGANGGCCAGCCACACUGGGACUGAGACACGGCCCAGACUCCUACGGGAGGCAGCAGUGGGGAAUAUUGGACAAUGGGCGCAAGCCUGAUCCAGCAAUGCCGCGUGAGUGAUGAAGGCCUUAGGGUUGUAAAGCUCUUUCGCCCGCGACGAUGAUGACGGUAGCGGGAGAAGAAGCCCCGGCUAACUUCGUGCCAGCAGCCGCAGUAAC
rnacentral:rRNA from 1 species